GAGGAAUAUUGGUCAAUGGGCGCGAGCCUGAACCAGCCAAGUAGCGUGCAGGAUGACGGCCCUAUGGGUUGUAAACUGCUUUUGUAUGGGGAUAAAGUUAGGGACGUGUCCCUAUUUGCAGGUACCAUACGAAUAAGGACCGGCUAAUUCCGUGCCAGCAGCCGCGGUAAUACGGAAGGUCCAGGCGUUAUCCGGAUUUAUUGGGUUUAAAGGGAGCGUAGGCUGGAGAUUAAGUGUGUUGUGAAAUGUAGACGCUCAACGUCUGAAUUGCAGCGCAUACUGGUUUCCUUGAGUACGCACAACGUUGGCGGAAUUCGUCGUGUAGCGGUGAAAUGCUUAGAUAUGACGAAGAACUCCGAUUGCGAAGGCAGCUGACGGGAGCGCAACUGACGCUUAAGCUCGAAGGUGCGGGUAUCAAACAGGAUUAGAUACCCUGGUAGUCCGCACAGUAAACGAUGGAUGCCCGCUGUUGGUACCUGGUAUCAGCGGCUAAGCGAAAGCAUUAAGCAUCCCACCUGGGGAGUACGCCGGCAACGGUG
rnacentral:rRNA from 1 species